UACGGAGGGGGCUAGCGUUGUUCGGAAUUACUGGGCGUAAAGCGCGCGUAGGCGGACCUGCAAGUCGGGGGUGAAAUCCCGAGGCUCAACCUCGGAACUGCCUUCGAUACUGCGGGUCUCGAGUCCGGGAGAGGUGAGUGGAAUUCCUAGUGUAGAGGUGAAAUUCGUAGAUAUUAGGAAGAACACCAGUGGCGAAGGCGGGUCACUGGCCCGGUACUGACGCUGAGGAGCGAAAGCGUGGGGAGCAAACAGG
rnacentral:rRNA from 1 species